GGUACUCCUGCCCAAGCCCAUGCCCAGGCCUACGUCCUUCCUCCAUCUCCCAGACCAGCUGCACAGUUGCUUCAGAGACAAAGUGUGGCUUGUUUCUCAAUGAGUGCCUGUGAGGAGUGAAGCCACAGCCAAGGCAAGAAGGUCUGCUCCUUUCCUGGCACGAGUUUUGGUGAGGACUGAACCUCCAGAGGGAGAGGACACCAGGCCAGCAAUAAAGGGCUGUUAAUUUUGAUGAUGACCUAAUCAAAGGAAAGAGACUGUCAUCAUGGAGUGGUGUGGCUCUUCACAGGUGGAAGGAUGGAGGAGUCAGAGGCACAGCACAACCUUCCCUGUGCCCACUGCACCCCUGUCAGUUCCUGAAGAAGUCCUGGGAAGAGGAUGCUGGAGAGCAAAGAAUGGGUCUGAGGACACCCAGAACUAAUAGUACAGGAAAUUUCCUG